rnacentral:tRNA from 6 species
GGCGACAUGGCCGAGUGGUAAGGCGGGGGACUGCAAAUCCUUUUUCCCCAGUUCAAAUCUGGGUGUCGCCUGAUUAACAAUUAACAAA